rnacentral:rRNA from 1 species
AUUGAACGCUGGCGGCGUGCUUAACACAUGCAAGUCGAUCGGUAACAGGUGUAGCAAUACAUGCUGACGAGAGGCGGACGGGUGAGGAACGCUUGGGAAUCUGCCUAUCAGCGGGGGACAACCCGGGGAAACUCGGGCUAAUACCGCAUACGCUCUACGGAGGAAAGCCGGGGACCGCAAGGCCUGGCACUGAUAGAUGAGCCCAAGCCGGAUUAGCUAGUUGGCGGGGUAACGGCCCACCAAGGCGACGAACCGUAGCUGGUCUGAGAGGACGAUCAGCCACACCGGAACUGAGACACGGUCCGGACUCCUACGGGAGGCAGCAGUGGGGAAUAUUGGACAAUGGGGGAAACCCUGAUCCAGCGACGCCGCGUGGGUGAAGAAGGCCUGCGGGUUGUAAAGCCCUUUCGGUAGGGACGAAAACUCUUGCUCUAACAGAGCAGGAGCUUGACUUAACCUACAUAAGAAGCACCGGCUAACUCUGUGCCAGCCGCCGCCGUAACAC